rnacentral:tRNA from 1 species
GCGGGUGUAGUAUAACGGCAGUACGUAACCUUCCCAAGGUUAAGGCGAGGGUUCGACUCCCUUCACCCGCUCAA